rnacentral:rRNA from 1 species
AUGAAUAUGAUGCCACUCCUCAUAUGGCCUGUACUCUUUUCCCUGUUCUGGCUGAAAAGCUUUGGCAUUUAUGUGGCUGAAGGCGUGUCUGAUGUUAAUAGUGUGAUCCUUACAACUGAGCCCAAAUUACACAGCUGCAAGGAUCACAUUUACGGAGGUUGCCAGUAUAAUUUGUCAAGAUCGUCUUUGGAAAUUCUUAGAUUGUCACUGCAUGUCAAAAGUAUUAAUGUCCAUGUCUAUUGCUUCUUAGCAAUGAUCUGUGCUUUCCAUUUCCCUUUAUAUGACCUAAUGCACUGGGAACAGCCUUGA